UUGGAGAACCGGCGCCUGCUCUAUGUGUUUCUCCAGGUGAACCUGGAGUUGUGUCACGAAGGGCUUCUGGCGUAAAACUUGUGCCAAAUACCAGUGCGGAUCUGGCUGCAUCCGCUGUGGCGACCCCAAACAAACGGGAGCAGCUGAAAUG